rnacentral:rRNA from 1 species
UACAGAGGUCCCAAGCGUUGUUCGGAUUCAUUGGGCGUAAAGGGUGCGUAGGCGGCGCGGUAAGUCGGGUGUGAAAUCUCGGGGCUUAACUCCGAAACUGCAUUCGAUACUGCCGUGCUUGAGGACUGGAGAGGAGACUGGAAUUUACGGUGUAGCGGUGAAAUGCGUAGAUAUCGGGAGGAACACCGGUGGCGAAGGCGGGUCUCUGGGCCGAUACUGACGCUGAGGAGCGAAAGCGUGGGGAGCAAACAGG